GGAAAAUCAUAUAAUUGACGCCCAUCUUGUGAUCGUUUGUCAAUCGCUAUCUGUAACAGUUACGGAAUAAUCGCCUGUGCAGUGUGCACACUUAACGAUUACACCCUGUAUAUCAAAAUAAUAUGCAACAAAAAAGAAGAAUUUCGGACUAAUUUGUUUAAUUAUGUCAUUUUUAAUAAAAUGUUUUUUUAUUAUUUUUUGUUGAUUUGCGAUUUGGUUCAAUGAUUGAAAGAUUUAAUAAUUGUUCUUGCAAUUCAUACAAUUGUGUAUUAGUUGCCCUACAGACUGUUGUCGUUAUAUCUUAUUUCAAUAAUUUAUAUAAAGUUUAUUUGUAGUAGCAUGUUUAAUAUAUUAUAACGUUAAAUGUUUAACGAAAAGUGAAGAAAUUAUGUGUUCACUUCUUGAUGGAAACAGCGUCACGCUCGCUCGAUUGCAGCGACUGACAAUUAAUAUUAAAUGAUUGUGAUCUCUAUUUUUCGAUCCGAGGAUCAACUUUCCUCUGUUCUGUGUUUUUUAUUUCUCUCUGUGUGUAUUAUAUGGAUGUACUUGGUAUUCGUGGUCGGUUUAUUGCAACGUCAUAACCUAAUAGACACCUAAUGUCUUAUUUUCUACUAAUAAACUUUUUAGUAAAGAUGAUGUAGUGCGCAGGGCGGGGUACCGUAGUUAGCACAUAUUUUUUUAAUACUAUUUGAAGAAACAAUUUAUUUAUUUAAGGGUAAGUAAUAAAAAAAUCAAAUGCCCUGGAGGGGAAGUAUAUUUGUAUCGAUUUGAAGAAUAAAAUAACACUAUUUUUUUUAGUUUGUUCGAUUCUCGGUCGAAGCAACUGAAUUUUCGAAAAUCUUUGAAUGCCGUUCUAUUUCUUUUAAAAAAUACAUACAGGUUUGUCCUUUCAGUAAAAUUUGCAAUGUCUACUAAUUCAAGCAAUUCCCCUCCAGGGCCCAUGGAAAAUUUCUAAGUUUUCAUAAAAUUAUUUUUUGUUGAUUUGCCAUUUGAUUCAAGGAUUGAAAGAUUUAAUAAUUAUUGUUUUUGCAAUUAAUACAAUUGUAUAUUACUUGCCCUACUGUGACUUAAGUCAUUUUUUUGUGAUUUUUUUUUUCAAUAGUCGUUUUAUUAUCUUGUUUCAAUAAUUUAUAUAAAGUGUAUUUGUAGUAGCAUGUUUUUUUCAAUAUAUAACGUUAAAAGUUUAACGAAAAGUGAAUAUAAUUUACCGUAUCUUCAUAUUACAUAUAUUAUAUAGUGUUCACUUAUACAGGGUUACUUGUAAAACACCAGCAACCUUGCAGGACAAGAUAGCAUAAGAUAUCAUAAGAAACAACAUUUGUUCUACGACUUUUGAUAGGUAAUUUGUUAGAUUUUAUUUUCAUACAAAAAUAAAUAUUCAUUUAAUUUUCCAUUUAUAAACUCUACACGCAUCCUAAUAAUUACACGAGAAACGAACAAGAGGGGGAAGGUAGGGGCGGAGCGGCGCUAGCGCCUUUGAACUUGAUCUAUCUGCGACAGUCAGCGCAUAAGACUUACAAAUGUUAGGAGAGUACAAUAAAAGCUUAAAAAAUCAUUUCAAAAUAAUUUAUUGCGUUAUGCCAAUAGUCGUAGAACAAAAUAUGUUGUUACUUAUCUUGUCCUGCGAGGUUGCUGGUGUUUUUUCAAGUAACCCUGUGUACACAAGGUUACUUGAAAUAUAAUUAUUAUAUAGUUUUCACUUCUUGUAAUAAUACAAGAAAUAAUACCUAACUAAUAAUAAUUUUUAUUUUCUUCACUGCGUCACGCUCGCUCAAUUUUAUUGACUGUCAGUUUUAAUAUUAAUGAAAAUUAUUGUGAUCUCUAUUUUUCGAUCCGAGGAUCAACUUUCCUCUGCUCUAUGUGUGUGUACACGUCGUUGAUUAAUUAUUACUUUCUGUGUGGGUUUUAUAAUAAAUGAAGGUUCUGAGAUUAA